rnacentral:tRNA from 1 species
GAAAUAGCUCAGUUGGGAGAACGUUAGACUGUAGAGCGAAAGAUUCCUGGUUCGAUCCUGGGAUUAACA